UUCAUUCAUCAAACAGCGAAGUGAAGCACAUUUGCGUACGUUGUUAGCAUGAGUGUGAAAUAAGAACAACCUUCUUAUCAGGGCGCCUAGGAAGCACCAGGCACAGAAGAACAUCCAAGAACCAUCUCGAAAUAUCGCCUUGAAAAAGGCCGUUGCCGUCCGAAUUGAUUGAUUCCAAAAAUAAUCAGUCUAGCCCUGGAGCUGCUCACUGAUAGUUGGUUCUGCCGUUUGUGAUCGAUGUGUAACGUGUCUGAUCGGUACGAAAAAUGCCAUCCAUUGCCAUUCUGUUGCUAAUCGUUUGCGGCUUACUCUCACACUGGGACUUCCUGCUUGCGCAAGAAGUAUCGUUUGCAUGGAGUGUAUUGAACUGGAAUGAGCCCUUUUACGCUGGUGGAGUGCGAGAUGAAUUAAUAAAGUUUGAUUUCUAUAGCCAUCUUUAGGCACCACCAUGCAACUAGCCAUUAUCACUGAACUUUUGCGAUGAGAAGAUAUCUAGCUGAAGCUGCACAAACAUGAAGACCAAAUCGUUGCAAAUAGCAGAUAAACGAUGUACAGGACCAGUGAAACUAAUCAAACAACAACGAAAAAUGGAUUGUAAAAUAUGGAAAAGUUACUUAAAUAGACAAAAACGUGCUUAUCAGUGAAGGACUUAGAGACGAAUAAGGCCAAUAGGCUAAAAAUCUCUACAAAAAAAACAACAUCCAACAAAUUAAAAAAAAAGUGAAAGACUGCAGCAAAAUAUGACGACUGAAUAAAACCCAUAGUACAAACCUCUUGUAACAAA